CGUGAGCUGGGUUUAGAACGUCGUGAGACAGUUCGGUCCCUAUCUGCCGUGGGUGUUGAAUACUUGAGAGGAGCUGUCCCUAGUACGAGAGGACCGGGAUGGACGUACCUCUGGUGGACCUGUUGUUGCGCCAGCAGCAUAGCAGGGUAGCUAAGUACGGAAGGGAUAACCGCUGAAAGCAUCUAAGCGGGAAGCCCCCCUCAAAACCAGGUAUUCCUUGAGAGCCGUGGAAGACCACCACGUUGAUAGGCUGGAAGUGGAAGUGUGGCGACACAUGGAGCGGACCAGUACUAAUUGCUCGACAGGCUUGAUCCC
rfam:Nannochloropsis gaditana CCMP526 unplaced genomic scaffold scaffold1469, whole genome shotgun sequence.